GCCUGGCGGCUGUAGCGCGGUGGUCCCACCUGACCCCAUGCCGAACUCAGAAGUGAAACGCCGUAGCGCCGAUGGUAGUGUGGGGCCUCCCCCUGCGAGAGUAGGGAACUGCCAGGCAU
rnacentral:rRNA from 1 species